rnacentral:rRNA from 1 species
UGGGGAAUAUUGCACAAUGGGCGGAAGCCUGAUGCAGCGACGCCGCGUGGGGGAUGAAGGCCUUCGGGUUGUAAACUCCUUUCGACAGGGACGAAGCUUUUGUGACGGUACCUGUAUAAGAAGCACCGGCUAACUACGUGCCAGCAGCCGCUGUAAUACGUAGGGUGCGAGCGUUGUCCGGAAUUACUGGGCGUAAAGAGCUCGUAGGUGGUUUGUCGCGUCGUCUGUGAAAUUCCGGGGCUUAACUCCGGGCGUGCAGGCGAUACGGGCUGACUUGAGUGCUGUAGGGGAGACUGGAAUUCCUGGUGUAGCGGUGAAAUGCGCAGAUAUCAGGAGGAACACCGAUGGCGAAGGCAGGUCUCUGGGCAGUAACUGACGCUGAGGAGCGAAAGCAUGGGUAGCGAACAGG